rnacentral:lncRNA from 1 species
GGUAGAGUUUUUUUUGUUUUUUAUUUUCUUGUUUUUUUGUUUUACUUUUUUACUUUUUUUCUUUUUUGCUCUCUCUCUCUUUUCACUGUACUGUUCAUUUUGGGGUGAUAUGGUGUUAAUCUUGAACAGACUGUAAACUUCUGAUAUCGUGCUGUUGUUCAAAUUUAGUGCAUUGUCAGAUAUGAUCCUUUUUGGCAUUUCAUACCGACAUAUGAUUUCUUUUUUCAAGAAUUUACUGACUGUUAACUUUGUGAUAUUGGCAUAUGAAACAACCUCUACCCAUUUGAUGAAGUAAUCGACGACCACAAAG